AAAACUUAGGAAGAGCUGGAUGCCUCCCACGGAGAGCGUCCCUUCCAAGCGGCCCCGGAGUGGAGUGGAGUGGAUAGGGGUAGACUUUUCACACGGGGACAAAUUAUUACAGGAUAUCUGCACCCCCCGUUCCGAGUCACUCGGGCGCAUCGGUUACUUCAGCAGGUUCUCUGCAUCACGGACCCUUUUGAGGCUCAGAUGGAGCCUUGCUCUGUCGCCCAGGCUGGUGUGCAAUGGCACAAUCUCGACUCACUGCAACCUCCAUCUCCAAGGUUCAAGUUAUUCUCCUGCCUCAACCUCCUGAGUAGCUGGGAUUACAGACGUGCACGACCAUGCCCACCUAAUUUUUAUUUUUAGUAGAGACCAUGUUGGUCAGGCUUGUCUCGGACUCCUGACCUCAG
rnacentral:antisense_RNA from 1 species